UUUUUGGUGGCAGAUAUUAGUGCCUGUCAUUGUAAAUGACAAUAAGAAUUUAUUUCCCGAUA
rnacentral:tRNA from 1 species